UUGAGGGGAGGAGUAAGGACGCGCGCAUGCGACCCGGGGAAGGGAGACGCAUGGGGCGGGGCUUGAGGGGAGGAGUCGAGGCGCGCGCAUUGGGUCGCGGAGACGGGGCGGGGCGGGGAGUCCCGCUACGCCCCCCUGGAUCCCUCUGUAGCCGCCCCGAAAGGGCAGUUGACCUUCGAAGCUCGGCCUUCCAAAAGCUUGCCUAAAACCCAGAAUUUGAGUCGGGUCCUGCAAGAGGCAUUGAGAGGUGGUCCCGGCCUGAGGUGGGGACCACGGAUACGAGAGAAGGGCUUCUGAGGAUGGACUCCGAAAGACCCUAUUUAUGGAGGGACUUGUGGUUUACCUGGUGUAAAUCGGAGGCAUGCCAACCGGGAGGAUUGUCACUCUAACCAGAUCACGUUUUUUGCCUACAGUGGUAACAACUACUUUCUUCCUGCAGAGAUGGUGACUGCAAGCCAGGGUGUUUAGGGUGUUUACUUGAGCAGUAUCUUAAAGGAGGAGAGAGGAUCUGCUUCUCUUCCUUGCGUUUCCUGCAGGACCACUCAAUUGCUGUACACCAAAAUUUGUGUGUUUAUCCUUGAAGUCUUUCUCUUCUUAAUCUCCUACAAGAAUCAACACAGAUAAAUCUUAUAAAUACAGUCUUGAGUGAAAGAAGGAAAUUGCAGCUCAUACAUAACUCCCAAACGAAAACUUUCCAGUUGCAGCAGCUCCUGCCUUUGAGAUACCAAAACUGAAGCCUGUGUUUACCAUAACUGAUUCUAACCAGGGAAAGCAGGUAAGGACUAAGAAGAACUUGAGUAAUUCCAGUAUGCCAGACCCUCACUGAAUUACUGCAAGAUGCUGAACAACUAACAGUGGGACUUAACUUAAAUCCAGCUCCGAAUGGACUUAGGGAUGUGUUCCUCCCUAUUCAGGUGUAAACUUAAACCUUAGUUAUAACCACCGUGAUCUAACCCCUGUCCUUUAGACUUAAAGAAAUUGAACCACAGAGAAUUAAGUAAAUUACCUAUGAUCCUA